rnacentral:rRNA from 1 species
GACGAACGCUGGCGGCGUGCUUAACACAUGCAAGUCGAACGGAAAGGCUCUUCUUUUGUGGGGUGCUCGAGUGGCGAACGGGUGAGUAACACGUGAGUAACCUGCCCUUGACUUUGGGAUAACUUCAGGAAACUGGGGCUAAUACCGGAUAGGAGCUCCUGCUGCAUGGUGGGGGUUGGAAAGUUUCGGCGGUUGGGGAUGGACUCGCGGCUUAUCAGCUUGUUGGUGGGGUAGUGGCUUACCAAGGCUUUGACGGGUAGCCGGCCUGAGAGGGUGACCGGCCACAUUGGGACUGAGAUACGGCCCAGACUCCUACGGGAGGCAGCAGUGGGGAAUAUUGCACAAUGGGCGGAAGCCUGAUGCAGCAACGCCGCGUGCGGGAUGACGGCCUUCGGGUUGUAAACCGCUUUCGCCUGUGACGAAGCGUGAGUGACGGUAAUGGGUAAAGAAGCACCGGCUAACUACGUG